rnacentral:rRNA from 1 species
UGGGGGAUAUUGCACAAUGGAGGAAACUCUGAUGCAGCGACGCCGCGUGAGGGAAGAAGGUUUUCGGAUUGUAAACCUCUGUCUUCGGUGACGAAAAUGACGGUAGCCGAGGAGGAAGCCACGGCUAACUACGUGCCAGCAGCCGCGGUAAUACGUAGGUGGCAAGCGUUGUCCGGAAUUACUGGGUGUAAAGGGAGCGUAGGCGGGAAGGCAAGUUGAAUGUUUAAGGUACGGGCUCAACCUGUACAAGCGUUCGAAACUGUUUUUCUUGAGUGGAGCAGAGGUAAGCGGAAUUCCUAGUGUAGCGGUGAAAUGCGUAAAUAUUAGGAGGAACACCAGUGGCGAAGGCGGCUUACUGGGCUUUAACUGACGCUGAGGCUCGAAAGCGUGGGUAGCAAACAGG